ensembl:lncRNA
GUAGGAGGUGGUUUUCUUCAUUUAUUUUUUUGGGUGGCACCGAGGACUGAACCCCGGGCCUUCACACUGAGCUACAGCCCCAGUCCUUUUUGAAAUUAUUUUUUGAGACAGAGCCUCACUAAAUUGCUCAGGUUGGGCUGAAACUUGAGAUCCUCCUGGCUCAGCCUCCCAGAGUGCUGAAAUUACAGGAACCCCUGCAUUGUAACUGAAGUUAUACAUCAACCUUGCAUGUGGACCAGGUCACUUUGGCCUCGUAGAAGGCCUUUCCUCACUGGCAGAAAGACGUAUUUUUAUCUCCACUGUUUUGGUCAGGGUAGCCUGGGCUGGCCUGGAACUCACACAUCGAUCCUCCUGCUUCAGCCUCCAGAGUGCUGGGAUUACAGGGUCUCACAAUGUAGCCCAGGCUGUUCUUGAACAAAUGGCGGUCUUCCCGCCUCAGCCUCCCAAGAAGCUGGACCUACAGGCAUGUGUCAGCACUCCUGGAUUUGCAGUGAUUCUUGUUGAUGUUUGCCAACCACCAAGGUCAAAGACUAUAUUGUUGGAUACAGUGUCCUGUGUCGCCGUCGUAGGAAACACUCCACAGCUCCAGCAGCAGCUCACAGCUUGCCAUUCUGGUCACAGUUCCACGCUUGUUUCGGGCCGCUUUUACCUGCUUCUUCCGCGGUGAACGACACCAAGCGGAGGUGAGAAUGGUACACACGUGAAGGUCUGGCCCAUCAGUGAGACAGACUUGGAUUCACCUGAAAGGAUCCAAUGGAAUAGCAUUAGAAGCUUGGAAUCUGUUUUUCUCAAAGCACAGUAGAAAAAGUAGAAAUAGAGUUUCCUUAUUUACUCGUUUGAAACAGAAAAGAGUCCUAGGUUGAGAAAAUGUAAAUGGAGGCCUAGGGUUUUUUUGUUUGUUUGUUUUUGUUUCUUUUUUUUGAGACAGGGUCUCCCAAUGUAGUUCAGGCUGGCCUUGAACUCACUAUACAGCCCAGGCUGGCCUUCAAUUCGUGGUAAUCCUCCUGCCUCUGCUUCCUGAGUGUCGGGAUUGCAGGUGUGCGCCACAACGCCUGCCUUGACCGAGGAUUUUGACAUGUCGAUCUUCAAGACAUUUUGUUUGCAGUAUGUGGGGGAUCCAUUUGAUGAUAACUCAUCAACUAAGCUAGAGCUGUGUGUCAUUCAUUACUUUAUAAUUUACCAAAGUAAAAAAAAUGUAGACUCCAUUUGUCUGUAUGAAGAAACAGUGGAACAGGGAGACAUGGCUGAAGGCCUGGGGAAUGUUGAGUGUGUGCAUGAGAAGGGGUCGAUCACCCCUUUGGGCUCUCUGAACAGCACCAUGCGGGAGGCAGCAGAAAGGGAGCCAGGGAGAAAGCGGUUGAUCCUUUUCUAAGAAAGAUUUGUAUUACUGAAGGCACUAGCUGUGUUCAGUGUCAGAAAUACCGGAAGAAACGCUAGUCACCAGGGCACAAGGAACCAAAAUUGCAUUGGAUGGGCUCAAAGGUCAUGUAUUUGAAGUGAGCCUUGCUGAUCUGCAGAGUAAUGAAGUUGCAUUUAGAAAAUUCGAGCUGAUCACUGAAGAUGUUUGGGGCAAAACCCGCCUGCCUAACUGAAAUGAAAAAACAAAAGACAAAGCAGGGACUAACAGUCUCAAAGCUUGGCAGAGACUGACGGUCUCAAGGCGCCCCUCCUGCUAAACCCACGAAGGCCACUGUGCCCGAAAGAUGAACUGGCGAAACAACAGCUGCCUGUACGGCCCUGUGUCUUAAAGAUAAUCUGUAAAAGCAACAUCUGCCUGCACCUCCCUAGCCCUGCGCUAAGUUCUGCUUCUGUAAAAUUCUGCUUGCUUCCCCACCCCGCCUAAAGAGCAAGAUCGAAAUGAAAACAAACUUAGAAUCGGGGCUCAGGCUCUGGAAGGCGACUUCCACUGAGCCCGCCAGUGAAUAAACCUGCCUUUCCUUUCAAUUCUCUGAGCGC